UUGAAAAAGUAGAAAAAAU
rnacentral:sRNA from 1 species